rnacentral:rRNA from 1 species
UACGUAGGGGCGAGCGUUGUCCGGAAUUAUUGGGCGUAAAGAGCGUGUAGGCGGUUCGGUAAGUCUGCCGUGAAAACCUGGGGCUCAACCCCGGGCGUGCGGUGGAUACUGCCGGGCUAGAGGGUGGUAGAGGCGAGUGGAAUUCCCGGUGUAGCGGUGAAAUGCGCAGAUAUCAGGAGGAACACCGGUGGCGAAGGCGGGUCUCUGGGCCGAUACUGACGCUGAGGAGCGAAAGCGUGGGGAGCGAACAGG